rnacentral:lncRNA from 1 species
CUCAUAAAAGUGGAAAAUACGAUUAACUGAUCCAAUUUUUUUGAUGCAUUUUAUUUAGUAGGCUUUUUACUACGUGUUCUGUAAUGUGAACGAUAUCUAGUGGUUGGCGAUGUCUUCUACAUCUAGAUGUAGUCCUGAGUGCCGGGUAUAAAAGUUGUGACGCGUAAGAAGCGUCUCGCACGUCCCUUCUCGGUCUAAUACAGAGCGUUAAAAACCGAGUCUUGGUUAAAAGUCGGAAGAGGGCAGAGGCAGGGGCCGAGUGAAGCAGAAGGAGAGUGUGAAUGAGAGAAUGUGAAAAGAACAACAAGAGCUGCGGGACAGGGUGGGUUUAGCCACUGGAAAUUAAUUUCGUCAUUCUGGCUAUAAUAAUGAUCCGAUCGGAUCCCAAUUUGAUGAUCUGAUAGAUAUGGACAUUCCCUACGGAAUGGCGUUUUUAGUUUUCUCUUAUCUUCAAAAUUGUAGAUUUAUGAGGUUUUCGCCCUUUUGAGGGGGCGGAAGGGGGCGUGUCUCAUUUUUAAAAUACACUGGUUUCAGUGUGAGCAUACAGCAGUCUGGACCCAAAAUUUGGUGGCUCUAGCUCUUAUAGUCUCUGAGAACUAGCCGACAAACAAGACGGACAGACGGACAUACGGACAGACAGACAUGGCUCUAUCGACUCGUCUAUUGAUGCUGAUCAAGAAUAUAUAUACUUUAUGGGGUCGGAAACGCUUCCUUCUGUGCGUUACAUACAACCGUUAUUCCCCACAAAUACAAUAUACCCUAUUUGCUCGAGUACCGGGUAUAAAAACGUAACAGUUGUUAGUAUUUUACAAGCGGCGUUUGCACGCAUCGGCUUGUGGGUAAAAUUUUUUUUUUUUUAAUUAUUGCCUAUUAAGGCAUCGGCAUAAAUGCAGUCCAUAUGUCCGGGGCCUAUGGGCUCAGGCGGUGCCGGUCAUCGCACAGGUCAUUGAAGUACGCUCUAUGUAGCGUUGUCGGUGCCUUUUCAGGUCUUUAUCUUCUUUUAUUUUCCUCGAAUGUGACUUUGCACCGAUUUUCUUUCUGCGAGAAAAUAAUCAGCUCUGAAGAAUCAAUUUCUACUAUUUCUCGGUCGUUGUCCUCCUUUUAUUGGUUUUAUAUUAUUGUUAUAUUUUCGUUAGUUUGGUGUUUUUCACUUGAUUUUCACAUUUUCUCAUUGAAAACGGUCGCCAUGUAGAGAAAGUGUAUUUUAUUUUAAAAUAGAAAGACAUUCGUCUUUCUUGAAUUUCAUUUUUUAUUAUUUCAUUCUUAGUUUUUCUAUGAAAAAAUUUUGAGAGAUCGGCACAACCAGAACGAUCGAGUACAAGAUUAAGACUGACCCAUCGAGAGCUCAAAUCACUCGCAGAUGCCGAUUGCCAGAUGUCGUCUGCCAGAUUCCGCCGGCCAGCGACCAAUCACAUGUGGUUAUAUUUAUGCUUAUUUUAGUUGUACAGUGUACCCUCAGUAUAUGCAAUAUACUAUUAUAUUACUAUACUACUAUACUUCUACUCUCUGACUGCCACUGGAAGCAGACGUGUUUUUAAGCGUUCCGCCUUGACGUCGGUUUUUCAGUGCGAAAAAGUGUGUUUUCCCUUGUGGAAAGUGUUUAUAAACUUUGCCGUGAGUGUUCCGCUGUUGGUAUACUAAAUUGCGUUUAAUUAGUUGCCGAAUAGACGAAUUAACGAGCAAAUUGGUAGUUGCCACGUGUUUCUUAAAAACCACGCGUCUCUCAGAAGCCACGUGUUUCUCAGCUGUUUGAACCUUGGUUUUUGACCUGGGGUUCGGUUGGUGUCUCCGCUAAGUCAGCUGUUCG